CCUACGGGAGGCUGCAGUGGGGAAUAUUGGACAAUGGGCGAAAGCCUGAUCCAGCCAUGCCGCGUGUGUGAAGAAGGCCUUCGGGUUGUAAAGCACUUUCAGUGGGGAAGAAAGCCUUGGGGCUAAUACCCUCGAGGAAGGACAUCACCCACAGAAGAAGCACCGGCUAACUCCGUGCCAGCAGCCGCGGUAAUACGGAGGGUGCGAGCGUUAAUCGGAAUUACUGGGCGUAAAGCGCGCGUAGGCGGUCUGAUAAGCCGGUUGUGAAAGCCCCGGGCUCAACCUGGGAACGGCAUCCGGAACUGUCAGGCUAGAGUGCAGGAGAGGAAGGUAGAAUUCCCGGGGUAGCGGUGAAAUGCGUAGAGAUCGGGAGGAAUACCAGUGGCGAAGGCGGCCUUCUGGACUGACACUGACGCUGAGGUGCGAAAGCGUGGGUAGCAAACAGGAUUAGAUACCCCAGUAGUC
rnacentral:rRNA from 1 species